rnacentral:rRNA from 1 species
AGAGUUUGAUCCUGGCUCAGGACGAACGCUGGCGGUGUGCUUCACACAUGCAAGUCGAGCGGAUGAAAACAGUAGCUUGCUACUGUUGGAUUUAGCGGCGGACGGGUGAGUAAUAUAUAGGAAUCUGCCCUAAUGCGGGGAACAACAGACCGAAAGGUCUGCUAAUGCCCCAUAGGUAUGCAGUCUUCGGAUUGUAUAUUAAAGGAGUAAUCCACUUUAGGAUGAGCCUGUAUCCGAUUAGCUUGUUGGCGGGGUAAUGGCCCACCAAGGCUACGAUCGGUAGUUGGUCUGAGAGGAUGAUCAGCCACAAUGGGACUGAGACACGGCCCAUACUCCUACGGGAGGCAGCAGUGGGGAAUUUUACACAAUGGGGGAAACCCUGAUGUAGCGACACCGCGUGAACGAAGAAGCCUUUUGGGGUGUAAAGUUCUGUCGGCUGGAACGAAAAAAAUGACGGUACCAGCAAAGGAAGCAUCGGCUAACUACGUGCCAGCAGCCGCGGUAAGACGUAGGAUGCAAGCGUUGUCCGGAUUUAUUGGGCGUAAAGAGUUCGUAGGCGGUUAUUUAAGUCUGAUGUUAAAUACUGUGGCCCAACCACAGAACUGCAUUGGAUACUGGAUGACUUGAGUGCGGUAGAGGCAAGUGGAAUUCCCAGUGUAGCGGUGAAAUGCGUAGA